GAUGAAGAACGCAGCGAAAUGCGAUACGUAAUGUGAAUUGCAAAUUCAGUGAAUCAUCGAGUCUUUGAACGCACAUUGCGCCCGCUGGUAUUCCGGCGGGCAUGCCUGUUCGAGCGUCAUUUCAACCCUCAAACCCCCCGGGUUUGGUGUUGGGGAUCGGCUCUGCCUCACGGCGGUGCCGCCCCCGAAAUACAUUGGCGGUCUCGCUGCAGCCUCCAUUGCGUAGUAGCUAACACCUCGCAACUGGAACGCGGCGCGGCCAUGCCGUAAAACCCCAACUUCUGAAUGUUGACCUCGGAUCAGGUAGGAAUACCCGCUGAACUUAAGCAUAUCAAUAAGCGGAGGA
rnacentral:misc_RNA from 1 species